AGUGAACGCUGGCGGUAGGCCUAACACAUGCAAGUCGAACGGCAGCACAGGAGAGCUUGCUCUCUGGGUGGCGAGUGGCGGACGGGUGAGGAAUACAUCGGAAUCUACUCUGUCGUGGGGGAUAACGUAGGGAAACUUACGCUAAUACCGCAUACGACCUACGGGUGAAAGCAGGGGAUCUUCGGACCUUGCGCGAUUGAAUGAGCCGAUGUCGGAUUAGCUAGUUGGCGGGGUAAAGGCACACCAAGGCGACGAUCCGUAGCUGGUCUGAGAGGAUGAGCAGCCACACUGGAACUGAGACACGGUCCAGACUCCUACGGGAGGCAGCAGUGGGGAGUAUUGGACAAUGGGCGCAAGCCUGAUCCAGCCAUACCGCGUGGGUGAAGAAGGCCUUCGGGUUGUAAAGCCCUUUUGUUGGGAAAGAAAUCCAGCUGGCUAAUACCCGGUUGGGAUGACGGUACCCAAAGAAUAAGCACCGGCUAACUUCGUGCCAGCCGCCGCGGUAA
rnacentral:rRNA from 1 species